rnacentral:rRNA from 1 species
CGCUUUUUGAUUUUAAUAAAAAGUAAAGCCUGCCCACUGAGAGUUAAAUGGCCGCGGUAAUUUGACCGUGCGAAGGUAGCAUAAUCAUUAGUCUAUUAAUUGUAGUCUGGUAUGAAUGGUUUGAAUGAAUAAUAGCUGUCUCUUUAAUAUUAAUGAAUUUUAAGUUUUUGUGAAGAUGCAUAAAUGAGAUUAAAAGACGAGAAGACCCUAUUAAGCUUAACAGAUACUAUGUUUAGGAAGUAUUGAAGUGUAUUUUUUGUUUUAUUGGGGCGAUAGUAGAGAUUAAGUAACCUUUAUUAAAUAAAAUGAAGUUAAUAAUUUUGUGAUCCAUAAGAUAUGAUUAUAAGAACAAGUUACUAUAGGGAUAACAGCGUAAUUUUACCGGAGAGUUCAAAUUGAUGGUAAAGAUUGCGACCUCGAUGUUGAAUUAGGAUACCUUUUAGGUGCAGCCGUUUUUUAAGGUAGACUGUUCGUCUAUUAAAAUCCUACA